GACGAACGCUGGCGGCGGGCUUAACACAUGCAAGUCGAACGGAAAGGCCCUGCUUUUGUGGGGUGCUCGAGUGGCGAACGGGUGAGUAACACGUGAGUAACCUGCCCUUGACUUUGGGAUAACUUCAGGAAACUGGGGCUAAUACCGGAUAGGAGCUCCCGCUGCAUGGUGGGGGUGGGAAAGUUUCGGCGGUUGGGGAUGGACUCGCGGCUUAUCAGCUUGCUGGUGGGGGAGUGGCUUACCAAGGCUUUGACGGGUAGCCGGCCUGAGAGGGUGACCGGCCACAUUGGGCCUGAGAUACGGCCCAGACUCCUACGGGAGGCAGUAGUGGGGAAUAUUGCACAAUGGUCGGAAGCCUGAUGCAGCAACGCCGCGUGCGGGAUGACGGCCUUCGGGUUGUAAACCGCUUUCGCCUGUGACGAAGCGUGAGUGACGGUAAUGGGUAAAGAAGCACCGGCUAACUACGUG
rnacentral:rRNA from 1 species